GUGCUCGCUCUGGAGGUACAUAUACUUGAGUUGGAACGAUGCAGAGAAUAUUAGCAAGGCCUAUCCGCAAGGAUAACACGCAAAACCGUGAAGUGUUCCAUAUUUUU
rnacentral:snRNA from 1 species